UACCAUACGGCCGCCGCAUAGGUAAGGGU
rnacentral:sRNA from 1 species